rnacentral:lncRNA from 1 species
UACUAUUCAUUUAGUCAUUGCCUCUGAAAAUGUCGCCAAGAGGAAAGUUUCCUGUGUUUAUUUUAUUUCUAGCAUGACACCUUACUUUGAAAACUUUGAGUAUGCAUAUAGGCAGGGAAUGAAAAAAAAAAUAGGCUCCACUUUUCCCCUCUUAGCAUUAAUAUGCAAUCUUAAGAGGACAUUCAGGUUAAAUGAUGAAAAUCAUGAGCUUUUAAGAUCUUAUGGAGAGAGUUUAUAUGCUAUCCUGAGGAUAGGAAUUUCAUUGCAGUUUCAAAGACAGCUAGACAGCAAAGAACCUUUGCAAGAGUCUUAGAAAAUCAUAAAAAUGACAAUGAAAACUGAAAUUUGAGUUUUUUUCUUUAUUUAGGAAUUAUAAAGGAGAUUGGUAUGCAUUUUUUUCCAUGUUGUUGUUGUUAGAAGUAGUACGAAAGUGUCAUAGGUUUUUAUUUGUUUGUUUCAGAUGUUGGUUCCCAAGAAGUUAUUCAGUUACAGGUAAUAAGAGCAAACAUCGGAUUUAAUGUCAGAUAAUUUUGUGGGGUUAAAAGACAUGGAUGGGGGGGUAUUAUCAUGAGAUGACUUAUGCCUGGGGCUUCGACAGAAUAGCUAUAUCAGAAAAAGGCAUUACAUGGAGAUAAAUUUAAACCUGGUGAGAAAAAGGCAAUAAUGAACCUUCCAAACGCACAUAAAAUUGCCCCACUUUGACCAAAGAACUCUACCUAAAAAACUGCUAUGAUCUCACUAAUUGUAAAAUCUAUACUUGUAGGAAAUCUAAUGAAUUUUAGUGAAGAGAAACUCAUAGCUUAAGAAUGUGACAACCAUGAUAAGGUACUGAGAAGUCAAUUUCCCUAAGGCAGUCAGCAUGGACUCUGUAAUGAACUAAAUACUGGGAAAUUUAAUUUGAAUUUUCCAAACUGUGUGCCCAGAUGUGUAUGACUGAGACAUAUUUUCAGAAAGCUAUAAAGAAACCAUGUUUCUUGACAAGGGCUGAGAAUCUGCUUACACAAAAAACCUUAAAAAAAGCAACAGAGGCUUUCAGAGAAUAAGAAUAAUGUUAACUAUCAUACCACCAUUUAUAAUUAGAGAGAAAGAAUUAAUCUGGAAGUUACAUUGUUUCUAUUCUUAAUCUAGGAUUAUGAUAUUAUCUUUUAAAAAUUAGAAUAAUUUCAGUUAUAUCUAACUUUGAUAAGAAUAUGCCAAUGUUUAGAGUGUUUGAUAUAUUAUUUCAAAUAAUAAAAAUUAAUCAAAUUAUAGUUAUUAUGAAAAAUUCUGGAAACAGUAAAAUUCCAAGACGGCAAAAUAACUGCUCACUUUGUAGAUGUCAAGUCUGUGACCCCUCGUUACUGCAAGAUCUUGCCAAUAGAGUAAGGAAAAAUAACAGAACUUAGCCUCAGAGUACUGAAUUAUUUAUAGGAGUAAGAGAUGCUAUCUUCCCAGAGAACCUGGGGAAAGUAGAAGACAGUUUUGCCAAAAGAGUGAAGACUUAAGAGAUGUACAUGUGAAAUCCCAAUACCAGAAAGAAGGACUGGAAAAAACAGUCCUGGAUAUGAAAGGUAACUUUGGAAAGAGCAGGACAAGAACAUUAAGGACAAGUAUGGUCUCCCUUGGAACUUGGUCUAGUCCUGGUUUUCAUGGUAUCUUUAGGUUAACAUUAAAGGGAGCCAGAAUAGACUGAUGUUACAGCCUCUGUUAACCCAUGUGUUGGUUCCAUGUAGAAUUGCAAGUGGAAGGCACUAAUCCCUGCCCUUCCUUAGGGGCUGAAGAGAAUGGAUGAUGGUCAUUCUCUGAGCCCUUCAAAUUAUCAGACAUUGUGCUGAACCCUUAAUCCUUGACCUUAUGUGAUCCUCACACCAGUUUAAGUGCAGUGAAUGUUCUCUCUCCCUCCACCAGUUUUUCUUAACAGAAGACACUGAGACUCUGACUUGUCAAAUGACUUCAAGGCCAGCAAAAAAUAACAGUAAAACGGGAUUAACCCUCAAGCCGUCAAAAUCCAAAGCUCUUCUUUUAUCCUAGGGUCUUGAGACACAGGCACUUCUAUCAGAGAAAUGUUGAGGGAACUUAAUGCUGUUUGGUCUUCAAGCUUUGUGGUCAGCACUGUGCAGCAGCCCUCUCUAGUGAGAGCAGGAAUUGAAUAAAAAUUCCUAGGAUUUUCAUGUUUCUUUCAGUCAGUCUCAGGUCCUUCCCUUCUAUUUUCCCUCAAUGAUUUUAAGAUGUGAAUAUCCUACUUCUGCUCCAAAAGAAGAAAAUGAUAAUUGGAAGGAGAAUAUAACUCUUAAAGAGACAAGGGAAUGAAAAUGGGUCUAGUUUCUUCAUUUCUCUAGCCUCUCAUUCACCUCCAAGUUCCCAUUAUCAAAGAUCCUAUAUGAACAGGCAUAGUUUGGAGGGUCAGGGUCUCUUUACCAUCUGCUUUGUUUUCUUUAUUUUUAUUUUUGCUUUUUAGUGCCACACUCAAGGCAUAUGGAGGUUCCAGGCUAGAGGUUGAAUUGGAGCUGCAGCUGCCAGCCUAUGCCACAGCCACCUGCAUCUUCAUGGAUACCAGUCGGAUUUGUCACAACUGACCCUUGAUGGGAACUCCUCUUUUCUUUUUUUUUAAAUUAAAUUCAUUUUUUUAUUAGAGUAUAGUUGAUUUACAGUGUUGAGUCAAUUUCUGCUGUACAUUAUUGUGCCCCAGAUAUACAUAUAUAUGUAUAUGUAUGUAUAUAUACACACAUUCUUUUUCUCAUCUUCCAUGAUGUUCUAUCUCAAGAGACUGGAUAUAGUUCCCUGUGUUAUAAAGUAGGAUCUCAUUGAGCUUAUCCAUUCUAAAUGUGAUAGUUUGCAUCUAUCAGCCCCCAAAUCCUUAAUUGCCCUUGAAAUUCACUGUACCUUUCUCUAGCUGUGACAUAGCCCUUUAUUUUAUUUUUUAUUUAUUUCCCCAAUACAUUUUUUUCUACUGUACAUCAUGGUGACCCAGUUACAGAUAAAUGUAUACAUUCUUUUUUCUCUCAUUAUCAUGCUCCAUCAUAAGUGACAAGACAUAGUUCCCAGUGCUACACAGCAGGAUCUCAUUGCUAAUCCAUUCCAAAGGCAAAGGGAAGGUGGCCAGCUUUCAUUGUCAGGUGUGUUAAUUAUUGUAUCCUGUAAGGAUGUCUACACUUCAGUUCUGGUUGUGGCAUUAGUUGCUUAUUAAGUAAGCCUUUUUUUUUUUUUUUUUUAAUCAAGCUCAUGAAAUUCCUCAGGGCAGAGGUAAUUUAUAAAUGACAUUAAUUGGAAUGAAGCUAGGAUUUUUCUUUUUCUAGAGCAUCCAGGGCUUUACCCCCAGAUAGAUAGGGGAGUCAGUUCCCUCCCCUUUAUUGCUCUCCUGCCCUGCCCAGGAGGCCACUGACUAACCUUUCCCUGGAGCCUUGGCACACUGCACAAGUAGAGGAGGUGAUGUGGAAGGAUUAAAAACAUUACCCAGAUGCCUUUUACGAAAGUUUCUAGCAGUUGGCAAUACUCAGUCUGACCUUUGUGUUGGAUGUUGCCAUCAUUUUAAUCAUUUUACCAUCACUUGCAGGAGAGAAGGUGUCUUUGAAAGUGGCCUAUUUAGGGAAAGCUUCAGAGCCAAGGCUAAGUGUACAUUUUCACUAUUUCACAUGUUGUCAAAGUAACCAGCACAGUGAAAUUACAGCAUUUUGAAGAAAAUAGGUUUGUGCAAAGUUUUUAAAUAAGGUUGGAGGGCAUUUUAUUACAAUUAUUUAUAUUUGAUGUUAACCUUUUUAAUGACUUUUUAAUGUUUAAACAGCAAUAAAUAGAAUAUAUGUGUUUAUUGAAUCCAAAAUUUUACUUUUAAUUUCCUACCACUGUUUGCCAAAGCCCUUGUAAAAUUCUGUCUUUUGCAAGAGUUUUUCACUCAAGAAUUUUUGGACUAUCUGCUGUAUUCUUUAUGUUUCUGUGUAUUUGGCUAAUUUUUUUUUUAACUACAACUUCGGUCUCAUUUUCAAAAAAUUAACCCACACAUAGCAUGGUAAAGAAUUUUCAGUAUAUUUAUUGAUCCAAGUUAUAACUUGUCUCUGUAUGAUGCUUAAUGCCCACAAGGAUAAAGCAUUUGAUUUUAUAUUGAUUAUUACUUCUGUCAUUCAUAUCAUUUACUUCUUCAUUUUGAAAGAUAACAAGCCUAUGUAAAAGUUGCAAAAAAGGACCUUCCAAUUACACUUAUUUUUAACAUUCAGCCAUUUGAGAGUUAAUUGUAGACACUGUACCACAUUCAGCCCAAUACUUCAACAUUUCUCUCUUAAAGCAAGAACAUUGUUCCACAAACCACAAUAUAAUUAUCAUAAGAAAAUUUAAUGUUGAUAUAAUGCACCUAUUUAAAUACAGUCCAUAUGCAUAUUUCCAAAGUUGUCUCAAUAAAUCCUUUGUAACUGUUCAUAACCCCCUUCCAGGAUCUAAUGAAGAGUCACACAUGGUUUUUAGUUAUCAAAUCUCCUCAUCCUCCUUUAAUCUGAAACAAUUCCAGCUGUUUUUUUUCUUUCAUGACUUUAACAUUUUUAAAAAGACUGAAUCAUUGCCUUGCACAAUAUUUCUAAAAUGAGUAUUUUCUCAUAAUUAUAUUCUGGUAAGGAACAUUUUUGGCAGGACAACAGAUGUGAUGUAUCUUUCAUAGAGUAUCGUAUAAGGAAGUGGAUGAGGUCAGUGUAUCCUACUUUGGGAAAUUAAGUUUAAUCCCUUAGUUAAGGUGGUAUCUGUUGGAUUUCUUCAUUGUGUAGGUAUUCUCUUCUCUUGUGAUUAAUAAGUACUCUGUGGGUAAUAUUGUGGGAGUCUAUAAAUAUUUGUUCUCCAGUGAUCUUCCUCCAAGGAUUUUGAUGUCCAUUAAUAUAUAUUUCUUGAAUAAAUCAUUACUUUGGUGUCAGCAAAAUGGUGAUUUCCAAUUUUAUCAUUUUUCUACAUUUAUUAUUUUCCCCUGAAGAAGAAGUUUUCAUUCUCCUUCUCCUCAACACUUGAAAUUAUUAUUUUGGAUAUCAUUAUGAACUUAUGGGUUUCUUUUUUAGUCAACGUAUUAUAAUUUAUUUCAUUCAUUAUUAUAGCAUCAGUUAUUCCAAAUUUGGCCAGUGUAAGCUCUAAUAAACUGUGUUAUCUAUUUUAGUUGUCCUAUUCAUUUAACUUCACUAUUCGAAAUAUGCUUUGAAGAUACUUCAAAAUAACUUUUAGCCCACUUAUUUGUAGCAGUGCUUCAAUUCCCUUGUCACAUUAAUUUUUAAACAGAAAUUUUAGGGAAUUGUUGGAUGCUGACUGACUAUGGACUAUUGUGAGAAUGAGAAACUCCUGGGGGACACAGUCUUAGGGGAGCCCUCUUCCCUUUCAUGGUGUUUACUUCCAGGAAUCCCAUCAAAUCCUCUUGGUAAAGAGUCAGGAAAUAUCCCCUGUGCCUCUGUUGGGGAAGGGAAAAACUACCAAUUUUAAAAAUUCACCCAGAACAUUCACCAUAACAAAAGUCCAUUUUCCAGGGUGUAAGACUUUACCAGAGCCUUAUCUCAUCUGGGAAGGGCAUGUAUCCAACUCUUGCUCUUUCUAGCCAUUUUGUUUUGCUUAAGGUAGGGAGGAAAGCCAAGAAAUAUUGGUGGAGUUCACAGUUCAUGGACAUAGACCAUUUUAAGAUUAUAGAAUUCUCUUCCUCCCACACAUCUUACACCCCUCCCCACAUACAAACACCAAUAGGACUCCAGUAUAAUAACAGUGGGUUAGAGCUGGAAGAUCUGUAAGACAUUUACUGUCUCUGAGGAGUUUUUAGGGAAGCUUAAAGACAAUAAGGGAGACAAAAGUAAGGACAGUAAUAGUAUUUGGAGUCUCCAGUAUGUACGGCUACAGAAAACAUUGAACACAGCCCAACUUCUAGAAAGAUUAAACAUAAAACCUCACACUAAAGGCCUAGUUACCCAGUUCCUACUAUCCGAUACAUUAUGUCUAACUUUCAGCCAAAAAAUUACAAGCCAUGCUAAAUGGAAAGAAAAAACUUAUAUAAUGAAAGUAUACUCUCUUUAGGAAGAUAUUUUCAUUUUCAGUCAGAUUAAGAUGGGAUUGCCAAAAAUUCCUUUGUUAUGUUUGUGUUGAGAAAUUCCAUAUGUAGUAUCUGAUUUUUGCCUAUGAAAAUCAAUAUGGUAGCUCACAUAACAUGAAGAGCCUCUUAAUUAAUUCAGCACUAGAACAUAUAAGAAGUGCAGUUUAAAAAGUGCAAUUAAAAAGAUAUCAAUAGACCAAAAAGCUUACUAUUUUCUUUAGGAACAGAGAAAAUAGAGUGAAAUAUUUGCAUUGAAGGGACCUGCUGGUUUUAUGGUCACAUCUGCUAACCAGUCUGCAUCCUUGGCUCACAGAGAUCCCCAUGAUUGCUGACAAAAAAAGUGAUUCUUUCAGAAACAUUUCCCCUUCAUGUAGCCUAGCAUAUUUCAGCAGUCUGUGUUCCCAAAACCCGUGGUUGAAAAACACUCAACCUCAUGCCUACAUUUCCUGAAAAGAAGAUCAGUCCAGAGGUGAUUCAGUAACACAUGAAGCUUGUUCUCCAGACACAAAAAUGAAAUGAAAUCAGAAAAAAACACUGGCAUAAAAAUGACAGAAACCUCAUCAAGUUGAGUUGGGAAGUCAAUCUUAUUUGUUAACAGAGAUUGAGUGUUCUUUGGCAUUUGAUGGGGCCAACAAUGGGCUAGGUGCUGUAGAGAACAUAGCAUUAGAAAAAGUUCUUGCCCAGGGGGCUCGUAAUCAAAUCAGACAAACCAGACACUAACACAGUCCAGCCGUCUGAAGUAGGGAAAGUUGGAUUUAUAUGGGGAACCUAAGGUCACUCUGUCCAUGAGGAUACUCUGUUUCCCUCCAACAAGCUUGGUCUCUUAUGUUAUGUAAGUUUGGGAGAAAAUCUUACCAUAAUUUCUUACUUUUUCCUUUUCAACAUCACCCAGGAAGUCUGUUUUGCAAGAGAGUGCAUUUGGAUUUUCAUUGUCAUGUGCCAGGGUUCAGAAAUUCUACAAAUCACAUGACCUGAUUUACUAGAGAAGGAAGAAAAAAUCACAAGGCCCAGGUCCCUAGGAGGAGAAGCAUAGUUAUGUAGGAGAACACUCUACAGAGAGGAUCUCGGGGCCACAUUUCUUGCUGAACCUGGCCUAUAUAUCUGCUGUUUUGUGUUGGGUCCAUUAUCACCUCUGUUCUGUUAUGAGCAGCCUUGACACAUGAGAAAGGCUGCUUGGUACCAGGCAGUAUGGAUUUAAAUUGCCAGUUGUUUAAAUUGCUAGUGCCCCC